rnacentral:rRNA from 1 species
UGCCAGACUCCUACGGGAGGCAGCAGUGGGGAAUAUUGCACAAUGGGGGAAACCCUGAUGCAGCGACGCCGCGUGAAGGAUGAAGUAUUUCGGUAUGUAAACUUCUAUCAGCAGGGAAGAAAAUGACGGUACCUGACUAAGAAGCCCCGGCUAACUACGUGCCAGCAGCCGCGGUAAUACGUAGGGAGCAAGCGUUAUCCGGAAUUAUUGGGUGUAAAGGGUGCGUAGACGGGACAGCAAGUUAGUUGUGAAAGCCCUCGGCUUAACUGAGGAACUGCAACUAAAACUAUUGUUCUUGAGUGCAGGAGAGGAAAGCGGAAUUCCUAGUGUAGCGGUGAAAUGCGUAGAUAUUAGGAGGAACACCAGUGGCGAAGGCGGCUUUCUGGACUGUAACUGACGUUGAGGCUCGAAGGCGUGGGGAGCAAACAGGAUUAGAUACCCGAGUAC